AAGGUUGUAUAAUAUGAAAACUCAAAGUUCCUGUAAACUGGCCAUCAACAAACAUUAACUUUUUUUGAUUUUCACAAACUGGAUUCAUUAUUAUAUUCGGUGGGUACCAAUUUCGUGCCUGUAGUUGAACCAUGCAUUCAAAUGUUGAACAAAGUAUUAAUUUGAUAAAGGCUAUAUUGCAUACUUCAGCUUAACUUCAAAAUCUAUUAUCAAUGAAAAUACAACGUAAUUUUCAAUCUACUAAAAAACAGUUGCAAUGAAAAUAAAUGAACUCACAGUAACUAAAAUUGAAAACAAAUAAACAACGAUAAAAUGGACAGAUAAAGACUUAAUUUUUGUAGUAUUUGAAUAAGCUGUAAUAACGGAUAUUUGUGUUAUUAUACAAUUACAACUGUUCCCUAGAUCCCUGACAGUCAUUUUUCUUAAAACGAUACAACAAACAGAAGAUGUAAUUACAACUGUUUUAAAUCUCAUUUCUGUCCAUUAAAUCUUCAACAAAUGAUUUUAUGAAUAAUCACAGUAUACUGUUUAAUUAAAGGAUGUCACCUUGUCAUCAGGUGUUUAUUAAUAGUUGCAGUAAGGUAGUAUGAAUUCAAAAAAAUAUCUUUGGUCUAUCUGAAAGAAUAUCUCCAUCAUAUACACCAAAGUGAACAAUUGGCAUUACAUUUUAACUUCAAUCUAAUCUG
rnacentral:lncRNA from 1 species